CCCUUCGAUGUUCUGGGCCGCACGCGCGCUACACUGAUUGAGUCAACAAGUUUACAACCUUUUCCGAAAGGAAUGGGUAAUCUUUUGAAACUCAAUCGUGAUAGGGAUAGAUGAUUGCAAUUAUUUGUCUUAAACGAGGAAUGCCUAGUACGGAGGCUUCAACAGAGUCUCCGGAAUACGUCCCUGCCCUUUGUACACACCGCCCGUCGCUCCUACCGAUCGAAGAGUUAGGUGAAUUGUUUUGAUCGAUAAGAUUUGACUAUGGUCAACUCUCGUUGUGAAAUUCUGUGAAUCUGACUGUUUAGAGGAAGGAAAAGUCGUAACA
rnacentral:rRNA from 1 species